UUUUUUUUUUUUUUUUGAGACACAGUCUUGCUCCGUCACCCAGGCUGGAGUACAGUGGCAUGAUCUUGGCUCACUGCAACCUCCACCUCCCCAGUUCAAGUGAUUCUCCUGCCUCAGACCUCCCAAGUAGCUGGGAUUACAGACGCCUGCUACCACGCCUGGCUAAUGCUUGUAUUUUCAGUAGACUCAGGGUUUCACCAUGUUGGCCAGACUGGUCUCAAAUUCCUGACCUUGUGAACCACCCACCUCUGCUUUCCAAAGUGCUGGAUUACAGGAGUAAGCCAUUGCGUCUGGUGCUUUUUUUUUUUUCCUUUGUUUAAAAUCGAUGUUCACACUAAGUGGGCAGAUGCAUUUUUGACUGAUUGAUAUCCUUGCCUGUAGAGGCAACUGCCCCAAUUGUUAAGGUUUUUUUUUUUUUAAUUGGUAGGGUUGAAAUGUGGAUUUCCUUGGAGAGUAAGGCAUGCUUUUUAAGUCAUCUGUUAUAUUUUCCAGGAUCCCUGUGUUUUCUCGAGUCUUGCCUAGUUUUCUGAGUGGUUGGUAGGAUACUGCUUUCUGCUCUUGCCCCCACCAAGUCAUUUAAAGAUCCAUGUUCAGACCAGGUGCAGUGGCUCACGCCUGUAAUCCCAGCACUUUGUGAGGCUGAGGCAGGCGGAUCACCUGAGGUCAGGAGUUGGAGACCAGCCUGGCCAACAUGGCAAAAACCCAUCUCUACUAAAAAUGCAAAAUUAGCCAGGUGUGGUGGCACGUGCCUGUAAUCCAAGCUACUCUGGAGGCUGAGGCAGGAGAAUCGCUUGAACCCAGGAGGGGCAGGUUGCGGUGAGCCGAGAUCACAGCAUUGCUCCAGCCUGGGCAACAAGAGCGAAAUUCCAUCUCAAAAAAAAAAAAUCCAUGAUCAUUGAACAAUUAAUCCAAAAGCUCCUACUGAUAUAAAAUAUCCAAUCCUGGCUUGAACUUCUGUGACUUGCAUUUUACUCUAAUCCAUCCACAUGGUACUCACAUUAUGCACUGACUUUAUACAAAAAAGUCUAAGUACCUGUGGAUAUCAGUUGAGUGUGCCACCACUUGGGGACUGAGAUUACCCUCAGAAGAGCUCUUUUUGGGCGGGUGUGGUGGCUCCCAGCACUUUGGGAGGCCAAGGCAGGUGGAUCACAAGGUCAGGAGUUCAAGACCAGCCUGGCCAGCAUGGUGAAAUCCCAUCUCUACUAAAAAUACAAAAAUUAGCUGGGCAUGAUGGUACGUGCCUGUGGUCCUGUUAUGCCCAGACCGUUUGUUCCCCAAAGAAGACCACCAGAGUCCAGAGUCAAAGCCAAGUGGCAAGGAUCUUUACUACAAGUUCGAACCUGGUCCCUCCAUUCCACAGUAUACAAGAGGGCCCCGAACAAUGCGAGCGUUUGCUUUUUAUAGCCCAAGAGUUACAGGGGAACAAAGGAAUUCUUUUGGUUCCCGCGCUUUCAGUAAAACCUUGAACGGCUGUCUCCUUAUCGGAGACUUUCCAGGUGGUGUUUGUACUGGGCUCAGGGAGUUUGAGAGAUAUAUGGCGAUAUGUGGUGGGAUGGGAGGAUGGGAUGUGUUUGUACUGGGCUCAGGGAGUUUUUAGCCCGGGGCUGAGGAAUGUGCCCAGCUCCUUUCAGUCCCAGGUACUC
ensembl:lncRNA